UCCAGGCCCUACGGGGCGCAGCAGGCGCGAAACCUCCGCAAUGCACGCAAGUGCGACGGGGGGACCCCAAGUGCCACUCUUAACGGGGUGGCUUUUCAGGAGUGUAAAAAGCUCCUGGAAUAAGGGCUGGGCAAGACCGGUGCCAGCCGCCGCGGUAACACCGGCAGCUCGAGUGGUAGCCGCGUUUAUUGGGCCUAAAGCGUCCGUAGCCGGUCCGAUAAGUCUCUGGUGAAAGCCCACAGCUCAACUGUGGGAAUCGCUGGAGAUACUAUCGGACUUGAGGCCGGGAGAGGCUGGAGGCACUCCCAGGGUAGGGGUGAAAUCCUAUAAUCCUGGGAGGACCACCUGUGGCGAAGGCGUCCAGCUGGAACGGACCUGACGGUGAGGGACGAAAGCCAGGGGCGCGAACCGGAUUAGGUACCCGGGUAGUCCUGGCCGUAAACGAUGCGGACUUGGUGUUGGGACGGCUUUGAGCUGUCCCAGUGCCGAAGGGAAGCUGUUAAGUCCGCCGCCUGGGAAGUACGGCCGCAAGGCUGAAACUUAAAGGAAUUGGCGGGGGAGCACCACAACGCGUGGAGCCUGCGGUUUAAUUGGAUUCAACGCCGGG
rnacentral:rRNA from 1 species